rnacentral:lncRNA from 1 species
CAUCGUCGAAUGUUACGCCUGGACGCAGGUCAACGUUAUCGCAACAAAACUAUGGCUAAGAAUGCGUUGGCUAACAAACGUGAAGCUAUCAAGGAUAUUCCAGAAGAUGAAGUGGAAGCUGUAUUUCAUACGAUAACUCAACAGGAGAUAAAUAUGGCUAAAAACAGGACUUGAUAAUCUUAGUUGUGUUGUUUUGCAACUUAAAAUGACCUGCAACAUGUUAAUAAAACAUAAAAGUUGCCACGGUCUAUCUAUUUCCACGAAGAGCUGUAAGUAGAACAGAUCAUGCAGGUUAAACAAACAAACGAACUGCAGGCGUUAGCUUAUGAUUAUACCUAUCGUUCCAAAUAUGUACACCUGUAUAGAUAACAUAAAUUGAGGAUAUUUUGAGCGGUUUUGGUACCAUAAUGAAUGCACUUCAUCUGCAUGGUUAUCUGGGAUAUGCAUGCUCAAUGACAGGAUAACGGACGUAUCAGUUCACACCACUGUCUGUACAGAUCUCAAUAGACUAUAGAUUACACAACAUAUUAAAAAUUAAGCACGUUAAAAUAUUAAAUUUUAACCCUUGAAGCGCCAGCCAGUGGCGGUGGAACAAUUUUAUUUUAAGGGGGAUAAUUUCUAUAAAUUCUCCAACAUGCAAUAAAAGUUUUUCCCGGAAAUGUUGGCGACGGGGGAGGGGGGCUUACCUAUUUCCUACUUGAUAUUUUUAAUACAUGCACGUGCCGGUUUCUUUCAUCUUUCCUGAAUUUUUUCUCUAAAUUUGCCCACUUUUUAUAUAUAAACUUGAAAAUUUGGAAUCUCAUCCAUUUCCCUGUUCCGUUGCUACUGCAUGGCGCCUGUACUCUCCCUUUAACGAGUAAAAUCGCCUGGCGUUAGCAGAGUGAACUAAUAAUAAAGUAUAGGACACAUUGCGGCGCAAUACACGAAAAAAGCCCUUCUCAUGCAUGCAAAUAGAGUUGAAACACUGUGUCAUUUAAGAAUAGAAUCCCCGAUCCCGCCAUUUUAUAUAUACUGUGAAUCAAAUGCACGCAUGCAAGAUGCAUAUUUAUAGCUAGUGUAUGUAAUUACUCCUAUGCACUUAGAUCAUGCUAAAAAAGGAAUUGUAUACGUUCACGUCGUUAUCUUUGGUGUGUUUUAGCAGCUUUAAUAUAUAAUUAUCCAGUAUCCACGGACCACGUAAAACUAUAUAACUUGGAGUACACUCUCAAAUACAACUGUGUAAAAUUACAGAUUUUAUUUUUAUAAAAAGUUUACUUAAGCUUAGGUUUGGGGACCUUUUUUAUAUACAUUUCUAUAUGCAUUAACAAAUUUUUAUUUUGUCUGCAUCAUUAUUUAGUCAUAUCUGCCCACCUCGCAAGUUACUAUAUAUAGUUGUUUAAUCUCUGCAGUUUAUAGUAAAGCUCAUGCAACCCACUCAAACCUUAAUUAAAUAAUAGUAGUUGUGUGCAUUUUGUUGUUGUCAUGCAUGGACUAAAAAUAAUGUAGAUAUUAAAAUACAGAGUCUUAUACUCUUGUUUCUUCCGUGAUCUAUAGCUGGAUCUUUCAUUUAGACCAUUCUUGAAAUGCUAAAUCAAAACCAGGGUGC